AGAGUUUGAUCCUGGCUCAGGAUGAACGCUGGCGGCGUGCCUAAUACAUGCAAGUCGAACGCACUGUGGUUCAACUGAUUUGAAGAGCUUGCUCUGAUAUGACGAUGAACAUUGCAGUGAGUGGCGAACGGGUGAGUAACACGUGGGAAACCUACCUCUUAGCGGGGGAUAACAUCUGGAAACAGAUGCUAAUACCGCAUAACACUAGCAACCGCAUGGUUGCUACUUGAAAGAUGGUUCUGCUAUCACUAAGAGAUGGUCCCGCGGCGCAUUAGUUAGUUGGUGAGGUAAUGGCUCACCAAGACGAUGAUGCGUAGCCGAGUUGAGAGACUGAUCGGCCACAAUGGGACUGAGACACGGCCCAUACUCCUACGGGAGGCAGCAGUAGGGAAUCUUCCACAAUGGACGAAAGUCUGAUGGAGCAACGCCGCGUGUGUGAUGAAGGGUUUCGGCUCGUAAAACACUGUUGUAAGAGAAGAAUAGCAUCAAGAGUAACUGCUUGGUGUGUGACGGUAUCUUACCAGAAAGGAACGGCUAAAUACGUGCCAGCAGCCGCGGUAAUACGUAUGUUCCAAGCGUUAUCCGGAUUUAUUGGGCGUAAAGCGAGCGCAGACGGUUUUUUAAGUCCGAAGUGAAAGCCCACAGCUUAACUGUGGAAGUGCUUUGGAAACUGGAUGACUUGAGUGCAGUAGAGGAGGGUGGAAUUCCAUGUGUAGCGGUGAAAUGCGUAGAUAUAUGGAGGAACACAGUGGCGAAGCGGCUCUCUGGACUGUAACUGACGU
rnacentral:rRNA from 1 species